CACGUAGGGCGCGAGCGUUGUCCGGAAUUAUUGGGCGUAAAGAGCUCGUAGGCGGCCUGUUGCGUCCGCUGUGAAAGCCCGGGGCUUAACCCCGGGUCUGCAGUGGAUACGGGCAGGCUAGAGGUAGGUAGGGGAGAAUGGAAUUCCCGGUGUAGCGGUGAAAUGCGCAGAUAUCAGGAGGAACACCGGUGGCGAAGGCGGUUCUCUGGGCCGGUACUGACGCUGAGACGCGAAAGCGUGGGGAGCGAACAGG
rnacentral:rRNA from 1 species